UGUCUCUCUUGAGUGGAUCCUGAGUACGACGGAGCACGUGAAAUUCCGUCGGAAUCUGGGAGGACCAUCUCCUAAGGCUAAAUACUCUCUAGUGACCGAUAGUGAACCAGUACCGUGAGGGAAAGGUGAAAAGCACCCCGGAAGGGGAGUGAAAUAGAACCUGAAACCGUGUGCUUACAAGUAGUCAGAGCCCGUUAAUGGGUGAUGGCGUGCCUUUUGUAGAAUGAACCGGCGAGUUACGAUUUGAUGCAAGGUUAAGCAGUAAAUGUGGAGCCGUAGCGAAAGCGAGUCUGAAUAGGGCGUUUAGUAUUUGGUCGUAGACCCGAAACCAGGUGAUCUACCCUUGGUCAGGUUGAAGUUCAGGUAACACUGAAUGGAGGACCGAACCGACUUACGUUGAAAAGUGAGCGGAUGAACUGAGGGUAGCGGAGAAAUUCCAAUCGAACCUGGAGAUAGCUGGUUCUCUCCGAAAUAGCUUUAGGGCUAGCCUCAAGUGAUGAUUAUUGGAG
rnacentral:rRNA from 1 species